UACGUAGGGCGCAAGCGUUGUCCGGAAUUAUUGGGCGUAAAGAGCUCGUAGGCGGUUUGUCGCGUCUGGUGUGAAAACUCAAGGCUCAACCUUGAGCUUGCAUCGGGUACGGGCAGACUAGAGUGCGGUAGGGGUGACUGGAAUUCCUGGUGUAGCGGUGAAAUGCGCAGAUAUCAGGAGGAACACCGGUGGCGAAGGCGGGUCUCUGGGCCAUGAACUGACGCUGAGGAGCGAAAGCGUGGGGAGCGAACAGG
rnacentral:rRNA from 1 species